rnacentral:rRNA from 1 species
CUUUAUUGGAGAGUUUGAUCCUGGCUCAGGAUGAACGCUGGCGGCGUGCCUAAUACAUGCAAGUUGAGCGAAUGGAUUGAGAGCUUGCUCUUAUGAAGUUAGCGGCGGACGGGUGAGUAACACGUGGGUAACCUGCCCAUAAGACUGGGAUAACUCCGGGAAACCGGGGCUAAUACCGGAUAACAUUUUGAACUGCAUGGUUCGAAAUUGAAAGGCGGCUUCGGCUGUCACUUAUGGAUGGACCCGCGUCGCAUUAGCUAGUUGGUGAGGUAACGGCUCA